rnacentral:lncRNA from 1 species
AAACAUUGCCAUCAGUUCUAAUACAUGCUGUCAUUUUCAAUUAAUUUCUAUCUCUAAUACUUUUUGAAAAAAAUGCAAAUAAAAGAAAUUGAUUCAAGGGGAUAUAACUCUCAAAGUGGAUGAUGAAAUCCUAUGCAGCCUCAUAUGGUAAUACAUUAUGAUGAGAUCUACCUAUUGUCCAAAUAAAGUCGUGAUAUCUUUUAACACAUUUUGGGGGGACCAUGUUGAAAAAAUCAAUAAAAGGGAGAUAACUUCUUAAGGGGAAGGUGAAAUCCCAUAAAAGUUCAUCUAGUAAAAGUUCAUGUUGAGGUCUAUUGAUGGUUUAAUUUUGGUAUUGAUAACUCCAAUAGAAGCGGAAGGAGGGCGAGCCAAACAAAUGUUGGAAGAAAAAGAAAAAAAAACAUUAGAAAAACAAUAAGGUCUUUCCUCACGGAGAGGAAAGACCUUAAUUAUGUAACUUUUAAAAAUUGUUGCAAAUACCAC